rnacentral:rRNA from 1 species
AAUAGAUACCCCGGUAGUCCAUGCCGUAAACGAUGUCUACUAGCCGUUGGGGCCCUUGAGGCUUUAGUGGCGCAGCUAACGCGAUAAGUAGACCGCCUGGGGAGUACGGUCGCAAGACUAAAACUCAAAUGAAUUGACGGGGGCCCGCACAAGCGGUGGAGCAUGUGGUUUAAUUCGAUGCAACGCGAAGAACCUUACCUGGCCUUGACAUACAGAGAACUUUCCAGAGAUGGAUUGGUGCCUUCGGGAACUCUGAUACAGGUGCUGCAUGGCUGUCGUCAGCUCGUGUCGUGAGAUGUUGGGUUAAGUCCCGCAACGAGCGCAACCCGUUUUCCCAUUUGCCAGCACUUCGGGUGGGAACUUUAAGGAUACUGCCAGUGACAAACUGGAGGAAGGCGGGGACGACGUCAAGUCAUCAUGGCCCUUACGGCCAGGGCUACACACGUGCUACAAUGGUCGGUACAAAGGGUUGCUACUGCGCGAGCAGAUGCUAAUCUCAAAAAGCCGAUCGUAGUCCGGAUCGCAGU